rnacentral:rRNA from 1 species
UGAGGAAUAUUGGACAAUGGGUGAAAACCUGAUCCAGCCAUGCCGCGUGCAGGAAGACGGCCCUAUGGGUUGUAAACUGCUUUUGUAUGGGAGCAAUAAGCUCUACGCGUAGAGUGAUGAGAGUACCAUACGAAUAAGCAUCGGCUAACUACGUGCCAGCAGCCGCGGUAAUACGUAGGGGGCAAGCGUUGUCCGGAAUUACUGGGCGUAAAGAGCACGUAGGCGGUAACCUAAGUCAGAUGUGAAAGACCAGGGCUUAACUCUGGGGUUGCAUACGAAACUGGGUAACUAGAGUGCAGGAGAGGAAAGUGGAAUUCCUAGUGUAGCGGUGAAAUGCGUAGAUAUUAGGAGGAACACCAGUGGCGAAGGCGGCUUUCUGGACUGUAACUGACGCUGAGGUGCGAAAGCCAGGGGAGCGAACG